rnacentral:lncRNA from 1 species
CACAGGUCAAGUGGGUUCGAUGGGAAGCAUGUUGAAAUGAUAGCAAAUAAUGUGCGUAUCUGACUUGGAGAUGCAGAAAUAAUUGCUUCAGCGAUUGUCGUGUCCCAAUGAGUAUCGUUUUCAAGCAAAUUUAGCUCUUGACAUGCUGCACGAAAUGUGGGGCACAAGAUACCAUUAACAGUUCGCAGUGAUUCAAAUGAUGUUGGCCCUCGAACAUGUACCAGCAACAACCGCAAAUAGAAACAUUCAUCAUUCUUCGGAUGAACUGUGUAAAUACGACCAAGAGCAUCAGUAGAACGCAUAUCUGGAUGACCAGGAACUGCAUCGCCUUGCUUCCGACGUUGAAAUUUCUUCGAUGUAGCGUUCCAAGUGUAAUAACGUGGCAUUUCUGAGUAAAGCAAAGUUCGGGCGAACGGAUCGCUUUGCCAAAUCGCAAAGAAGCUGGUCAGUGCUGUCGCUGGAGGUGUUUCGGCACGUUGAGCAGCAUUCGACGCUGUGAAAUAUACUCUCUGACCGUUCUCU